CCUAAGCGGCGCCAAUCCAGAUUCAGGAAAUUACGCUAGAUGGACCUUUGGUAGAAUUUUAAAGCACGCUGCCACAAAUUUUCACAUAUGGAAAAUUUUAACGGUUGUCAUGUUUUGUGGCAAAUCUUGGUGAUCGCCAUUUGAAAAUUUCUAGCAAUUGCCAUGUUUUUGAAAAUCCUUAUAAUCGCCAUAUGAAAAUUUCUUGCAAUUGCAAUGUUUUGUGACAAAUCUUGGUGAUCCCCAUAUGAAAGAUUCUAUUAAUUGCCAUGUCUUUCUGACAAAUCUGAUGAUCACCAUAUCAAAAUUUCUGGUGACUGCCAGUUUUUGCAAACUUUGGUGAUCACCAUAUGAAAAUUUCUAGCGAUUGUCAUGUUUUUUAGAAUCCUGUUGAUCACCAUAUGAAAAUUCCUGGGAAUUGCCAUGUUUUUUAAAAUCCUGGUGAUUACCAUAGGGAAAUUUCUCACGAUUGCCAUAUUUUUGCAAAUCCUGGUUAUCACCGUAUGUAAAUUUCUGGCAAUUGUCAUAUUUUGUGGCAAAUUCCGGUGGUCACCAUAUGAAAAAUUCUAACAAUUGCCAUGUUUUUGUGGCAAAUUCCGAUGAUCACCAUAUAAAAAAUUCUAAAGAUUGCCAGGAAAGCUUUCCAAAAAUCUGGUGGAGACUUUUUUCCCACGACUUUUCUUACCAAGGUCAAAAAUCAAUAGUGGCACCGAAGUAUCCUAUUUCUGCCAUUUGCCCAUCCAGAUUAGUUGAGCUACCUUAUAGUUGUAUGAUAAGGCAUGAGGUCCCUUUAGCCCUACGUGGCGCCAAUCCCAAUUAGUCGAGCCAGUCCUACUAGUUGUAAGAUAAGGUGCGGAGGAUUUGAGGCAUGAUGAUGAUAGAGAGACAAAUGGCAGGGAGGUAAGUUCCUCUGCACCUCAAGAUCAUCGGAAUCACCAACACCAGUUAACUGAAGGGACCUUACAUUCCAUUGAAUCAUCGGCGAAGGAAAAUGAGGAGAGAGAUUUGGGAGUUAUGGAUGAGAAAACCCGAGUCUCAGACGUUUUGGUGGAUACGGGAUUAGAGAAAAUGGACAAUGAAGCUAACGCAACAUUACAUGAUGAUGCUGUAGCAACUUCAGAUGCAAAGCCCUCUGCGGCCCUACGAAACGAAGAAAAACUAGAGCUUUCCAGUGAUACGCAUGCAGUUCAUGCCAGUGUUCGAGCAGAUGAGAUGAAAGGUUCUCCCCAUGACGAUCAGACACCAGUAGCUUUGGUUCCCCGACCAGUGCAAACAACUUCCUGGAAGAGUUGCUGUGGCUUAUUUGAGGUGUUUGCAGGAUCGAAUAAAUAACUUGAGUUGGAUGAUCUACAUUCUUCGAUGACUAUACACAAGUGCAAUAUAGUUCACAUCUAUGUUGCUUGGACUCUCCAAAAGUGCUGCCGCACCCAUAUUGAAUCCUCCAAAAAUGCACUAAAUUUGGAGGAUCCGACACACACCCAACAAUAUUUUUGAAGAUUCCGAGUAACAUAGGUUCACAUGAUAUAUGCAAUUUAAGCUUAGGUAGAAUGCAUGGGGAGUGCGGUUAGUAUAGCUAACACCGGAAGGAAACUGGUAAGGGAGAUGUAUUGAGGAAUAUGUGGACUGAAUUCAGACAUUGACAAGUACUAUUGACUUUUUUUAAUAACCAAGAAAUUCCCGAGGGCCAGUGGCGCACGGUUCAAAACUCGGUGGAUAAUGGGCUCGUCCCUCUACCCUUCACUUAAAUACCGGGCUUUUGUCUGCAACAGGAUUCGAAACUAUGAUGUGCGCCCUACCGACACAUCACAAGCUGCGCUCUUACCUCUAGACCAAAGCCCUGGGGCUAGCUAUGUUGUGCGGACUCUCCAAAAUAUUGCCGCACCCGUGUCAGAUCCUCCAGAAAAUGCACUAGUUUUGGAGGAUCUUACACGCACCCGACGGUAUUUUCAGAGAGUCCGAGCAACAUAGGGGGCUAGUACCACUGACAUUUUCUGAAUGAUUUAUCGCUUGUUCCGGUGAUGAUGAUCAUUAUUCAGGACAACAUGAUGAGUUUUCAACUCCAUCUAUCACUGAAUCUGGACUUACGAUUUUGUUGUUGUGUCGCUGAUUUGGUAGUUGACUAGAGACCAUGUUACAUUAUGAUUCCAAGCAAAUGUUCUUCGUGAUGCAGAGGAGAGUAUGAAGGUUGAGUAGACAAGCAACAUCUUGGAGGUUUUUAGUGAAUAUAGAAGUUUAUGAAAGUAUUCAUCUUCUUGUACAAUCACGAGCUAGAAAUAUCGUUAUACAAGCCUAUAUUUCUAUUAUCCUCGUUUUAUUUGAAAAGCAGCUCGACGGCCCUUGAUUUUUGUACUGCUUUCCUGGUUUUUCUUGCAGUGGUUAGCUUAUUGGUGUGAUGUUACCAAUUUUGAGGGAGAGUUGUUCCUUAAGUUGCUUAGAGAAAUUAAAAUUAGAAAUUUUUUUGGUUUUUGAUAGUUUUAACACAUACUAUUGAAAUUCCUUAACUUUGUUGACA